rnacentral:rRNA from 1 species
CCUACGGGAGGCAGCAGUGAGGAAUAUUGGUCAAUGGGCUCGAGCCUGAACCAGCCAAGUAGCGUGAAGGAUGACUGCCCUACGGGUUGUAAACUUCUUUUAUCAAGGAAUAAAGUGAGACACGUGUACCUUUUUGUAUGUACUUUAUGAAUAAGGAUCGGCGAAACCCGUGACAUGAGCCGCGGUAAGACGGAGGAUCCGGACGUUAUUCGGAUUUUAUGGGGUUAAAGGGAGCGUAGGGUGGAUGUUAAGUCAGUUGGGAAAGUUUGCGGCCCAACCCUACAAUUGCCAUUGAUACUGGCAGUCUUGAGUACAGUUGAGGUAAGCGGAAUGCGUGGUGUAGCGGUGAAAUGCUUAGAUAUCACGAAGAACUCCGAUUGCGAAGGCAGCUUACUAAACUGCCACUGACAUUGAUGCUCGAAAGUGUGGGUAUCAAACAGGAUUAGAUACCCCUGUAGUC